rnacentral:rRNA from 1 species
UAGUGAUCCGGUGGUUCUGCGUGGAAGGGCCAUCGCUCAACGGAUAAAAGCUACCCUGGGGAUAACAGGCUUAUCUCCCCCAAGAGUCCACAUCGACGGGGAGGUUUGGCACCUCGCUGUCGGCUCAUCACCUCCUGGUGCUGUAGUAGGUCCCAAGGGUUGGGCUGUUCGCCCAUUAAAGUAGUACGCGAGCUGGGUUCAGAACGUCGUGAGAC